rnacentral:rRNA from 1 species
GACGAACGCUGGCGGCGUGCUUAACACAUGCAAGUCGAACGGGGCUUGCCCUUUGGGGUGGGUUUAGUGGCGAACGGGUGAGUAACACGUGGGUAAUCUGCCCUCAGCUCUGGGAUAACUCCGGGAAACCGGGCUAAUACUGGAUAUGACUACUGGUGACAUCGCCUGGUGGUGGAAAGAUUUUUUGGUCGUGAGGAGUGGCCCGGCCGGCC